CUGUGCGUGCCUGCGUGGUGUCUUUGAGGCUAUUUCCUCUAGCAUCUGGCAUCUUUGCUACGAACUAGAUGGAGAAAUUGACCUUUAACAGAAAUUAACAAGAAAAAUCUGAGGUUCAGAAAGUGGUCCUCUCACCCCGGAGUACAAUGGCUCAGAUACCAUCUUCACGGCUUGCAGUCCCCCUGAGGCACAAAGGUGGAACUGCUCGUGGUCUCCUGGAGUCAGGGUUUGGGUGGAUUCCUCAAGUUCUCGAGGUCCCUGAAAUGUGUUCGGAUUCCUUCCUUGCCAUCUUUCAGGAAAGCAGUCUUUGUUUCUGACCUGAAAAGAUUGCCAUGAGCCAUGCGACAAAUCAAGGAUGAACAAAUGGAAUCUGGAGCAAGAUAAGGGUUCGGGCCAACAGACGCCCACACAUACCUAAGUCUGGGUAGUCACAUUCCCCCAGGAAGCUGGCACCACAUUUACCUGUUAAUCAAUACGUAACUUUUUUUCCCCUCCUA